rnacentral:lncRNA from 10 species
AAAGAAGGAAGAGGUUUUUAUUUGGCCGGUAGCAUUGGCAGACUCAUGUCUUAAGAGCCAAGCUCCCCCAAAAAGAAAUUCCUAGCCCUUUUAAGGGCUUACAACUCUAAGGGGUCCACGUGAAAGGGUCAUGAUAGAUCAAGUAAGCAUGAGGAAUGUGACUGGAGGCUACAUAUAUCAGCUAACAGAACAAAAAGUUUUACAGUGCUUUCUCAUACAAUGUCUGGAAUUUACAGAUAGUACCAGUAGUUUUUAUCGGUAAUAAGAAAAAGGAUGGCUUAAUAGUGCCAAUAACACAACUGUCUGCCCAUUCAUUAGGUAACUGAAUGUAGGCUCUCUGCCCACAUAUCCAGUAUAGUCCAGCGAGAGCCAUCCAGUCCUGAUGAGAUCCUGGACAAGCCCCCAUUAUAUCAGGAGCUGGAUCAGUGGGCACCAACUCUCAGGCUUCCCAAGGCCAUCGGUCUCUGAUAGUGGUUCCCCCGCAUAUAUAACAAGAAGUAACAUUAAGGGAAUGAGCUACAUUUUCUGCUAAUUGGAGAAACAAAUUUUUUAUCUUUUUCAGAAGUUCUGGUGGGUUACAGUGACUGGCAGCACAGGAGGGGUUGGCUUCCCCUUUCUGAAGAUGAACCAAGUCCUUUUUGUUCUUUUUCCAAGUAGCCUAAAUAACACAUGGCCAAAAGGCACAAUUUUCACAAACCCCUGACUCAUGACAAACAUAUUUAUUUUCUACUCUGUAGCUCCUUUCCCAGUUAAGAGAACCACAUCCUGUUCCUAGCUUGUUACUAUUAAUGGCUGCACAAGCGUCAAAUCUUAAAGUUACUUGUUUGGGGAUUCCUUUUUCUUCUGUUCUAGUUAUUAUUUCACUUGUAUCACCUAGGAAAAGGCCAGUUCUUAAUCUUAUUUCAAAACUGGUGGUUGUAGGGGGCUCAGAUGGGUUAUAACACACAUCAGGUCAGUCAUUUCCUGGGCUACAUACCUUGUACUGAGUGGCAUUAUACAAACAAGUCUCUUUUAACGUUCCCAUACAUUGAUAAUAACUAUAGAACAGAAAGAUUGUUUUCAUUUGCUGUCCUACCUCACUGACCUGAUGAAUACACUGGGAAUAGUCCCCAGUUUGAGUAAGAACAGUUGAAGCCCUUACUGUAAGUCCAAAAUUUAAGAAAAAUGAAGCCCACAAUGAGCUUCCUCAUGCUUCGGCUGUGCGUGGACCAGUCAGCUUCUGGGUGUGACUGGAGCAGGGCUUGUCAUCUUCUUCAGGGUCACUCUGCAGGGGUUGUCCAGACUUGGUCUUGCCUCCCAGGAUUCAGGCGCUGCAGGUUUUACACGGUUGUGAUGGAUCCAGGCUAGGAUUCUCUCUACGUUCACAGCAGUGGGAGUGAUCAGGACGACAGUCUGGGGUCCUUUCCACCAUGGGCACAAAGAGGCUACGUUCCAGUCCUUGAUCCACACUCGAACACCUGGGGAGAAAAGGUGAACUGGGGAGAAUAAGCUAACAGGGUCUCUCAUUUACCCAGGCUGAGAUUGUUUGUGUAAUUUUUCCUAAAGCCUGUAGCUGUCGCUGUAACUCAAUUUCACCUAACUCUCAGGAAGUGCCUGGAAGUCCCUGCAAUAUGGGAAGGGUCCCAUGAUAUAAUAUUUCCUAAGGGGAAUAUCCUGUUCUUUUAGAAGGGGUACAUCUAAUUUUAAAUAAUACUAUAGAGAGCAUGUAUCCAUUUUAAUCCUGUUUCCUGACAUACUUUCCCUAAACUAUUUUUGAUAGUCUGAUUCAUCUGCUCUGCCUUUCUGGAACUCUGAGGCCGGUAGGCGGCAUGCAGUUUCCAAAUGAUCCCCAAUACCUUUGCUAUCUUCUGUACCAAGUCAGCCACAAACGUUAGCCCAUUAUCUGAGCUGAUCCGUAAGGGCAGUCCAAAUCUAGGAAUAAGAUCUCGAAGAAGCACACAGGUUACUUCACGAGCUUUCUCAGUUAGUGUUGGAUAAGCCUCCACCCACCCACAGUAGGUACACAAAAGAACUAGUAAAUACUUGUUACCUCCACACUUUGGCAUCUCUGUGAAGUCCACCUGGAGAUCUUCAAAGGAGGCUGCUCUAUAAGCUUGUAUGCCGGGGGGGAACAGCUAGACCUUGCCUCACAUUAUGCUGUCGGCAGGUAACACACU